GAAUUUGUUGUGCAGUUUCAUAGUCCACUGCAGUGGCUGGAAGGAGAUGAGCAUCAGCUGCGAGUUCAGCUCCGUUCGCUUUGCUGUUUCCAAGCGACAGUGAAUCUGGUAGACAUUGCCUGCAAAAUCCCAGUUUCAUCAUCAGAACAAGUAUGAUUUAUGAACACUCUGCAAGGAAAGAAGUAGUGCAAUUCAUUACCCUUCAAGAUCUUUGGAUACGUUGGAUUUCACCACCUGCCCUGCAUAAACCAGAUGGUACAUUUUUCUCUUCAGCUUGUAUGGUGUCACAGUUUGUCCCUGAUUUUAUUUCAAACAUAAGAACAAUAUUAACAAAC